rnacentral:rRNA from 1 species
AAUGAACGCUGGCGGCAGGCCUAACACAUGCAAGUCGAACGGAUCCUUCGGGAUUAGUGGCGGACGGGUGAGUAACGCGUGGGAACAUACCCAAGGGUAAGGAAUAGCCUCGGGAAACUGGGAGUAAUACCGUAUGUGCUCGAAAGAGGACAGAUUUAUCGCCUUUGGAUUGGCCCGCGUUGGAUUAGGUAGUUGGUGGGGUAAUGGCCUACCAAGCCGACGAUCCAUAGCUGGUUUGGGAGGAUGACCAGCCACACUGGGACUGAGACACGGCCCAGACUCCUACGGGAGGCAGCAGUGGGGAAUCUUAGACAAUGGGGGAAACCCUGAUCUAGCCAUGCCGCGUGAUCGAUGAAGGCCUUAGGGUUGUAAAGAUCUUUCAGGUGGGAAGAUAAUGACUGUACCACCAGAAGAAGCCCCGGCUAACUCCGUGCCAGCAGCCGCGGUAA